rnacentral:rRNA from 1 species
UGGGCUGUUCGCCCAUUAAAGAGACCCGUGAGUUGGGUUCAGUACGUCGUGAGACAGUACGGUCCCUAUCUACCGCGGGCGUCUGGGGACUUGAGGGGAGUGGCCCCUAGUACGAGAGGACCGGGGUCAACUGACCUCUGGCGUAUGGGUUGUGGCGCCAGCCGCACAGCCCAGUAACCACGUCGGGACGGGAUAAGAGCUGAAAGCAUCUAAGCUCGAAGCCCACCCCAAGAUUAGGUCCCCUUGAGCCAGGUUGGAGACUACGACCUUGAUAGGGCGCACCUGUAAGUCCCGUAAGGGAUUGAGGGGAGCGCUACUAAUUGGCGAAUUGGCUCUU